rnacentral:sRNA from 2 species
UAGGGACGACCGCAAGAAUCUAGGAGCGAGGACGGGGGACCCACCUCAUCCCCUGAGACCGGGCACCGACCAGGUGCCCUUGGGGUUAAGUCCCGGGCGCAGAACCGCGGUUAACACUCCGCGGCGACGCACCGGGGCCGAGCAGCCUCUCGCUCGAACCCGACAGCUGACUUCGUAGGCGCGUGGAGAGAGGAAAC